rnacentral:rRNA from 1 species
GACGAACGCUGGCGGCGUGCCUAAUACAUGCAAGUCGAACGAACUCUGGUAUUGAUUGGUGCUUGCAUCAUGAUUUACAUUUGAGUGAGUGGCGAACUGGUGAGUAACACGUGGGAAACCUGCCCAGAAGCGGGGGAUAACACCUGGAAACAGAUGCUAAUACCGCAUAACAACUUGGACCGCAUGGUCCGAGCUUGAAAGAUGGCUUCGGCUAUCACUUUUGGAUGGUCCCGCGGCGUAUUAGCUAGAUGGUGGGGUAACGGCUCACCAUGGCAAUGAUACGUAGCCGACCUGAGAGGGUAAUCGGCCACAUUGGGACUGAGACACGGCCCAAACUCCUACGGGAGGCAGCAGUAGGGAAUCUUCCACAAUGGACGAAAGUCUGAUGGAGCAACGCCGCGUGAGUGAAGAAGGGUUUCGGCUCGUAAAACUCUGUUGUUAAAGAAGAACAUAUCUGAGAGUAACUGUUCAGGUAUUGACGGUAUUUAACCAGAAAGCCACGGCUAACUACGUGCCAGCAGCCGCGGUAAUACGUAGGUGGCAAGCGUUGUCCGGAUUUAUUGGGCGUAAAGCGAGCGCAGGCGGUUUUUUAAGUCUGAUGUGAAAGCCUUCGGCUCAACCGAAGAAGUGCAUCGGAAACUGGGAAACUUGAGUGCAGAAGAGGACAGUGGAACUCCAUGUGUAGCGGUGAAAUGCGUAGAUAUAUGGAAGAACACCAGUGGCGAAGGCGGCUGUCUGGUCUGUAACUGACGCUGAGGCUCGAAAGUAUGGGUAGCAAACAGGAUUAGAUACCCUGGUAGUCCAUACCGUAAACGAUGAAUGCUAAGUGUUGGAGGGUUUCCGCCCUUCAGUGCUGCAGCUAACGCAUUAAGCAUUCCGCCUGGGGAGUACGGCCGCAAGGCUGAAACUCAAAGGAAUUGACGGGGGCCCGCACAAGCGGUGGAGCAUGUGGUUUAAUUCGAAGCUACGCGAAGAACCUUACCAGGUCUUGACAUACUAUGCAAAUCUAAGAGAUUAGACGUUCCCUUCGGGGACAUGGAUACAGGUGGUGCAUGGUUGUCGUCAGCUCGUGUCGUGAGAUGUUGGGUUAAGUCCCGCAACGAGCGCAACCCUUAUUAUCAGUUGCCAGCAUUAAGUUGGGCACUCUGGUGAGACUGCCGGUGACAAACCGGAGGAAGGUGGGGAUGACGUCAAAUCAUCAUGCCCCUUAUGACCUGGGCUACACACGUGCUACAAUGGAUGGUACAACGAGUUGCGAACUCGCGAGAGUAAGCUAAUCUCUUAAAGCCAUUCUCAGUUCGAAUUGUAGGCUGCAACUCGCCUACAUGAAGUCGGAAUCGCUAGUAAUCGCGGAUCAGCAUGCCGCGGUGAAUACGUUCCCGGGCCUUGUACACACCGCCCGUCACACCAUGAGAGUUUGUAACACCCAAAGUCGGUGGGGUAACCUUUUAGGAACCAGCCGCCUAAGGUGGGACAGAUGAUUAGGGUG